rnacentral:snoRNA from 1 species
ACAAAGUGGUUCACAGCAGAUACCUUUGGCAUAGAUACCUCGUGAGUACUUUUAUAAGAACUGGAUUCUAAAAUCAGUCAGAGCUGCCCUAUGAUGUACAGUCUCUUUCCACAACUUUGGAGAACAAGCUGAGCUUCCUAUCUGCACCUGCAUAUUCCUACUUCUCUGAAUCCUUCAGACCGUGACUAAGGAGAUGAACCAUGCAGGAAACACUC